AUUGAACGCUGGCGGCAUGCUUUACACAUGCAAGUCGAACGGUAACAGGGAGCUUGCUCCGCUGACGAGUGGCGAACGGGUGAGUAAUAUAUCGGAACGUACCCAAGGGUGGGGGAUAACGUAGCGAAAGUUACCUUAUUACCGCAUCGGACUUAGGGAGGAAGGGGGGGGAUGGCAGACCCUCUUCCUCUUGGAGCGGCCGUUAGUUGAUUAGCUAGUUGGGGAGGUAAAGGCUAACCAAGGCGACGAUCAGUAGCUGGUCUGAGAGGCCGACCGGCCACACUGGAACUGAGACACGGUCCAGACUCCUACGGGAGGCAGCAGUGGGGAAUUUUGGACAAUGGGCGCAAGCCUGAUCCAGCAAUGCCGCGUGAGUGAAGAAGGCCUUCGGGUUGUAAAGCUCUUUUGUCAGGGAAGAAACGGGAGUGGCUAAUAUCCAUUCCUAAUGACGGUACCUGAAGAAUAAGCACCGGCUAACUACGUGCCAGCCGCCGCCGUAA
rnacentral:rRNA from 1 species